GACGUAGGGCACGAGCGUUGUCCGGAUUUAUUGGGCGUAAAGAGCUCGUAGGCGGCUUGUCGCGUCGAGUGUGAAAUCCUGCGGCUCAACUGCAGGCUUGCAUUCGAUACGGGCAGGCUGGAGUUCGGUAGGGGAGACUGGAAUUCCUGGUGUAGCGGUGGAAAUGCGCAGAUAUCAGGAGGAACACCGGUGGCGAAGGCGGGUCUC
rnacentral:rRNA from 1 species